ensembl:processed_transcript
GAUGAAAAUUCUAAAGAAGUUUCCAAGAGGAAAGGAGAGCUUUCCCACGCCAAAGAUGUUGGUUUGAAGCUAAGGGAAGCUCUGAAACAACAGCUCACCAUCAUCCAUGAAAGAGUGGAGGCCAGGAAAAUAGCUAAAUUGGCACUAGCGGAAGUCAGAAACAUCUUAGCCAAAGAAGAGGAAGAGAGGACCUUAAACCGCAUCAGAGAGGAGUCUGAAGCCAAAGCUUGGGAGAGAGCUGAAGCUCGGCUGAAAGAGGAAGGAGAGAGAAUAGAGAAAGAGGAUGUGGAAAAGGCCAUGGAAAGAAUUAGAAAGGAGAAAGAGGAAAGAGAGAAAAUGGCAGAAAGCGAAGAGGCAAAGAAGACUAAAAAAGUGGAAAAUGAUGAGGUGAAAGAAAAGCCAGAGCUUGAAAAGAAAUCCAUGGAGAAACCUGUCAAUGAAAAUGAUGAUGGUGGUGGUAAAAAAGCUGAGAAAGAUGGAAAAGGUAAAGAAUCCAAGAAGGCUGCAGCUAAAAAGAAACAGUAGAGAGCUAAACGCCAGAUCAUUUUGUCUUUGUGUAAAACUGGUUGGUCUCAGUGCAGUCUUCUGAGACUUAUUGAAGUCUAGACCUGUGAGAGAUGAUCAGUGAGGUGAAAAUGAAUCAAAUCAUUGGGUUAAUAAUAGCGGAAUCACAACAAGGUGCUAAAUGCUGAUUAGCAUUUUUAAUUUAUCUUAAAAUAUUUUGGUUUGAGGGUUGGAUCUUGGUUUGCUCUUGAAAGUAGUAUGUAAAGUGUAAG